rnacentral:rRNA from 1 species
UCGCCUGUUUAUCAAAAACAUCGCUGAAAAAUUAAUUUCAGUAAAAUCUGCCCAGUGUAUAAUAAACGGCCGCAGAACUUUAACUGUGCUAAGGUAGCAUAAUCAUUUGUCUUUUCAUUGGAGACUAGAAUAAACGAUUAGACGAAAGACUAACUAUUGAAAGUUCGCAUAUAAUUUACUUUAAAGGUAAAAAAGCCUUUAUUUACUAAAAGGACGACAAGACCCUAUAAAACUUUACUCUUAAAGUUAACUUUACUUAGGCUUAAUUUAAACCUAAAAGAGUUAAGCUGGGGCGGCUAAUUUAACCUUAACCUAAAUUUAAUUUAACAUAGUUUAUGAUCUUUACGAACGUUUUCAAUUUAAAACAAGUUACUUUAGGGAUAACAGCAUAAUAUCUCUCCAGAGACCUUAUCGUCAGAGAUGCGUAUGACCUCGAUGUUGAAUUGGUAUGUCUUAAUAGAGCAACCACUACAAAAGAAAGACUGUUCGUCUUUUAAUUUACCACAUGAUCUGAGUUCAAACCG